GACGUUACGGUAGAGGAACGUCGACACGCACCUCCAGCUUGGAACGAUACCAGCCGGCUGAGGAGGCAUUUCAGCACCAAGGACAGGCCGACCAGACUGGCUCCUCCAACCGCACCGGCGGACGCAAACUCUGUGUCCGGCAGAUCACGAGAUCCCCGGUCCUGCGGUGCAUGACUGCGUCUUUCAGAGGCGGUCCCGAAUAGCAGGUCUCUUCGUAUUUACCUCCUUACCAGACCAACUUGGACUAUGUCCCUCUGAGAGAGAGAGAGAGCUGAUCUGAAUUGCGCUUAAAGAAGAUUCCAAUAUGUCAAGCACUCAGAGAGACAAUGGCUCUGCAAACUCCACAGAAGCCAAGAAAACAGACCUCAGAGUCAACGAGAAAAAAUGCUCAUGGGCUUCUUACAUGACAAACUCUCCAACGGUAAUAGUGAUGAUCGGAUUGCCCGCUAGAGGAAAGACCUACAUCUCCAAGAAACUCACACGUUACCUCAAUUGGAUAGGAGUCCCAACCAAAGUGUUUAACUUGGGCGUGUACCGCAGAGAGGCUGUCAGAGCUUAUAAGUCCUAUGAUUUCUUCCGCCACGACAAUGAAGAAGCCAUGAAAAUAAGGAAGCAGUGUGCUCUGGUAGCGCUGCAAGAUGUGAAGGCGUACUUGACAGAGGAGGGAGGUCAGAUCGCAGUUUUUGAUGCAACAAACACAACAAGAGAACGACGAGACCUUAUUCAAGAUUUUGUGAAGGAGAAUGCUUUUAAGGUGUUCUUUGUGGAGUCGGUGUGUGAUGACCCCGAAGUCAUUGCUGCUAAUAUCCUGGAAGUGAAGGUUUCGAGUCCAGACUACCCUGAGAGACACAGAGAGAGAGUUAUGGAUGACUUCCUGAAGCGAAUUGAGUGCUACAAGGUCACUUACCAACCUUUAGAUCCUGAUGACUAUGACAAGGACCUUUCAUUUAUCAAGGUUAUAAAUGUGGGCCAACGUUUUCUGGUGAACCGGGUUCAGGACUACAUCCAGAGCAAGAUCGUCUACUACCUCAUGAACAUCCAUGUGCACUCUCACUCCAUUUACCUGUGUCGGCACGGAGAGAGCAAACACAACGUUGAAGGACGCAUCGGAGGAGAUUCUGAACUUUCCCCUCGUGGGAAACAGUUCGCCCACGCUCUGCGUGAUUUCAUUGAUGAACACAAGCUGUCAGAUUUGAAGGUGUGGACGAGCCAACUGAGAAGGACGAUCCAGACAGCGGAAGAGCUUGGCGUGCCUUAUGAACAGUGGAAAAUCCUCAAUGAGAUUGAUGCUGGUGUUUGUGAGGAGAUGACCUACGAGAUGAUCCAGGAGACAUUCCCAGAGGAGUUUGCAUUGAGGGAUCAGGACAAAUAUCAUUAUCGCUACCCAGGAGGAGAGUCCUACCAAGAUCUGGUUCAGCGCUUGGAGCCGGUUAUUAUGGAAUUAGAGAGACAAGGCAAUGUGCUGGUCAUCUGCCAUCAGGCUGUGAUGCGCUGUCUCCUGGCUUACUUCCUGGACAAGGGUGCAGAGGAUCUUCCAUACAUGAAAUGUCCACUCCACACAAUUCUCAAGCUCACCCCUGUUGCAUACGGUUGUAAAGUGGAAAUGUUUUAUCUGAAUGUGGAGGCAGUAAACACGCACCGAGACCGGCCUCUUGGUAAAAUUCCGAAGGACUCUACUCUCAUACAUCGCCGGAAUAGUUACACUCCUUUGUCCAGUCAUGACCAGGUCAAGCGGCCCAGGCUCUACAGCGCAGGCAACCAGCCCUGGCUACCGCUUGCCCCCACCCCAUCUGCUCUGAUGCCAGAGGAACGGCAAAGCCAAGUUAGUGAGAUAGUUAAAGGAUCCCCCUCUAAAUCACGCCGUCUUUCCGUAAUUGGUCCCACCACAGUUGUAAUCAUGUGUUUGGCAUUUUCCCACCUCAGUUUUGGAUCCUCUUGAUAAUUUGGUGUCUGUGUUGCAAUCAGCAUACGUGAAAUCCACCCCACCAUCUAUCUUUUCCUCUCAGGGCAUGUUUUGGGUCUUGAAUGGAUUGCUCCUUUCUUCAAAUGUUGUUUCUGUCAUAUGUUUGUGCUGCAUGAUGUCUGCCUCACCGCCAGGCUGUUGACAGCUUGAAUAUGCAGAACAGCAUGUCUACUCUUUACUAAGGAAAGCUCCUUGUGGAGUUAAGAAAAAGACACACAAACAUCAGAAAGAGAGACGCACAUCCUAAUCAUCUCGUAACUGUUAAAAAACCCAAAGUGAUGAUUCAGUUUGAUUAAAACCCCAAAAUAAUCAGUGAAAUUUCAGCUUUCUGUUAAAAAAUAGAAUUUAUUCCCCCAAAUACAUUAACCACUUCAGUUUGAAAAUGUUAACAUUUUAAAAUGCAUAUUCAUAUUUGUAUGUGUUGUGUACUUGUUGGCCUUGCAUUGUGGGUGUAGUGCUUCAGUCCCUCUCCACAUUUCUAUCUGUCUUUCUCUCUCUCCCUUCCUUCUCUCGCUCCAACCCUGUCUUUACAGACUCGGAUAGGAGGCAGCUGUCUGAGUCCCUGUGCGAAGGAAGCGACUUUGACAGCUCAGAAGAAACUAGUGGCUGUGUCCGCUUCUAAGUGAAGAUCCCAUCUUCUUUCCUCUUUUGCUCUUGCCACAGUGUGGACAACUUCUGAAUCCAGUCAUGAGUCAAUCGAGUGUUUCUUUUGAAAAGCGGGCCGCUUCUGCAUGAGGUAACAUAGUUCUAGUUAUCUCAAGGCCUCCGUCUCGUCUCUGCAUGCCAAGGCUUUGAACAGGAAGCCUUAUCAUUAGUGUCAUAAAUACUUCUGCAUGUGCACAUAAAGAAACCAGUAAACGCACACAACAUACUAUAUCACAGAAAUGACAAAAAACUCAAUAUAAAUGCUGCAAUGCCUUACUGAACUUUAGAUAUACUGAUAGAAUUAGAUCCUCCAUAUGUCACUGAAUGUAAUAGGAACAAGUUAUCCGUUGCAAUGAUGGAAAUCAAUUUACACAGUUACAUUUAGAAAAAAUAAAUUCUGUUAUAUUUUCUAUGCAUAUCCAACACUAAUAUGCUAUAAAUAAACAAUCUAUAGUUGGAAAUCUUGUCAAAUGUGUUCCUAAGCCAUAAUUUAUGUCUUAAUUUGACAGAAUGUGCUAGUUAGGGUCUCUAGAAAAUAAAAGUACUUCUACUCUGUUCUGAAAGCAGUGAAAAUACACUAAAUUGCUGGAUUUACCAGCACUAUAUACCAGCAGUAGGUACCUUAUCUGUUAAGCAGGUGUUAUCAAUCACAUUUAACACUACAACCUAAAUGUUUCUUUAUUUUUUUUUCAUCAUGCCGAUGUAUUCUGUUGAAGGAUUUUAUGUAGUAAAACUAAACAGCCAAACUAUAAGCUGACUCCCUAUUUGUGUUCGUGUCAUUAUACCGGCUGUGAAUGUGUUUUAUUUGUUUUAUGCAAAUGUAUUUUGUUCCACCAACAAAAAUGUUUAGAUUUUAUAAUAAUAGAUCACAGUUUUAGUUUAUGAUUCUGUAAUGUUUGUUGUUAAAUUGUUUUCCUGCUCAAAGCCGCCUACUGUGCCUUUUAAGCAGACA